UACGUAGGUGGCAAGCGUUGUCCGGAAUUAUUGGGCGUAAAGCGCGCGCAGGCGGUCCUUUAAGUCUGAUGUGAAAGCCCACGGCUCAACCGUGGAAGGCCAUUGGAAACUGGAGGACUUGAGUACAGAAGAGGAAAGCGGAAUUCCACGUGUAGCGGUGAAAUGCGUAGAGAUGUGGAGGAACACCAGUGGCGAAGGCGGCUUUCUGGUCUGUAACUGACGCUGAGGCGCGAAAGCGUGGGGAGCAAACAGG
rnacentral:rRNA from 1 species